AGCCAGUGUGCGCUUGCGUGGCCUCCUAGGGCUAUAAGGCUCCUCUUAUAAGUCUCAACCAUCCCUUGGGGGCCACGCAAAUUUCUAUCGCUUUACCAAAGCCCAACUUUUUGACAACCGGAUCGAACUCAUCUAUCCAUAUGGGACACAAACGUCAUCUACACGGAGGCAGCGUAAGAAGGAGAAACUGCAAGGCUGAAAAAUCAUCAAACAAUUUUGAGACAUCUUGUAAAUAUACGGCACAGACCUACGGUACCGUUGACAUCAUUGACAUCGCUUCAUGAUUGCUGAAAGGAUGGAGAGAAAAAUUUUUUUUUUUCGAAAAAAAAGCAAAAAAAUUGAAAAAAAUUUAUCAUUAUCUGGAUUUACCCGAUGAUCCAUUGUCUUUGAAGAUUGACUUCCGGUUUACUGGAUCAUCUGUCAAUUGGCUGUUUAUCGAUCUGGAAAUCGAAGGAUACACCACGUGACGCAUUUCCGGCAACGCAUAAAAUUCAAAUGACUUUUUCUUGUCUGAAUUGAAACAAUGGAAUCAUUGUACUGAAGACACGUUCGAUCGGCAACCUUAACACCGUUUCGACAUCGCUGAGAGCUGCCUUUCUAAGAUGCACCUGAAUUCACUGACUCGUAUCACCAUGCACGCCUAUCCGAUCAAUGUUGGAAUCCGAAUGACGUAUAUCUUGGAAAAUGAACAUUGGAAAAUGACUUGAAAAGGAACCUGACAAGAUCAUCGGUACUUCCGGAAGACACGCUGCCCUCGUCCUGUUCUCGCUACUCAGGCAAAUAUCUCAAACUGACAGAUCAUUAGGUACGAUUAUCAUUCACUACGAUCAUUAAUUUCAAAAUUAUCAUUUGAUUCUUAAUCGAAGUGGAAAAUGUUACAAAAAUUUUUGAUUACAAAUUUCAUCGAUUUUCUCGUACUUCAAUUUUAUGCUUUAUGAUUUUAUUAAACAUUCUUUGCAUUGUUUAAUCGAUCGAUCGAGUCAAUAGAACCGUAUUAGAUGUUACGUAAUUUCAAGUGAGAUUAAAUUUAAGUUUCGGAGUGAGUGUCAUUUUGAUUUUUACUUGAACAUUCAAAAUUAUUUUUACUCCUUUCUCUUCCUUGCUCUUACUUGCUCUCUUCGUUUCUCGUACAAACAAUUGAUAGAUUUUGAGUUUUCCUUUUUUAUCGAUUACUUGUAUCAGUCACGUCCUUACCGUAACGAUUUCUAGUCAACACAUCGAAGUCAAAAUAAUGUCUAGUCACAAAUAAAUAUUCUAGUCAAAAUCUAAGUCAAGCAUCUUCAAAUUAUGACUUUCGAAUGGUGCCAUAUAUAAUUUCAAGUCCUUUGGUUCAAUGAAACUAGGAAAAAUUUUCAUUAUACACAAGGACGAUCCAUCUAAUCCAUAAAUUUAGCAUAGUCUUGAUUAAUCGGUUAGUGAUAAUAAUGAUAAGAAAUCCAUACUCCUACAUUCCGAUCGCACGCGUGUAGAUUAAUCUAAGAGAUACAGAGAUUUAUAAUAAUAAUAAUGAUAAGUAUAAAUUAUAACAGAGAAUCUAGUCACUGUCCUUAAAUUUUAUAAUGAUUUGAGGUAUUACAGGAAAUUUUAUCUAAUCAUUUUUCUAGUCAGAAAAUUAACAUAAAAGAAUUUCAAGUCAUUACAUUUAAUCUUAUCUCAAUCGACAAAUUUAUCUAAUUAAAAUUAAUUUGAUAUUCGAGAUUGAAUAUGCAGGCCCUUAAAAAUGCAAUUUAUUUUCGGGUUUAAGUUCCCGCAGAAAAAAUUAAAUUCUUAGUAUUAUAUAUGUUUAUGCAAUCUUAUUUAAGUGUCUUGUAAUACGUAUUCGAAUUUGUGUAUCACCGUGUCACAACGCCCAACACUGCCCGUGAAUGCGAUGCCAUGUGAACUUACGUCGAAUGAGUUUGGCAGUCACGAUCUUUCAAAAAUCCUUGAAAAUUAUUUUCCAAGUAUUUUCGAAAGUACGAAACAUUUCUACAAAUUAGAAAUAAGUUUUCACUAUUAAGAACCUUAGUUAUAGCUUAUAAGAAAAAAGAAAAUUAACUCGGCCAUAAAGAAACAAUUAAGCUUAGAUACGUAUAAGAUAGACUCGUGUCCAUUUUGAGCAAUCGUAAUUUUUUAUUGAAUUUUGGGAAACGUGCCAGUAUUAAUUUUGAGUAUUCCGUAAAAAAAAAAAAAAAGAAAAAAAAAUUCGCCGGAACAAUCAAUACAGCCUCAAAAAAAAUUAAACAUAAUACACCGAAAAAAGACUGAAAAAAUAUUAAAAAGAAAUAGAUCGUUUUUUGGAAAAAAAAAAAUUGCAGACUAGUCAGGUUCCGGUGAAUCUUUUCGUUUGUCAAAUACGCACCAAGUGCCUGUGUAUGACGUCAUAUUUAGUUUAGUUUAGGAUCGUCUGAAAAAUUAGUUCAAAAAUUUUAAUUUUAAGUCAAACCUUAAUAAUUUUGAGUUCUGACAAGGGCUUUUCUUUCAAAGUACAAAUUGUCCGUAACGGCAGCUACUAAUUAUAGAGCAGGUAUAGUACAGUAAAGUGUUAGGGUUAGGAUAGGUUAUGGUUCCGAGGGACGAAAUACGUAUUCAGGUCGAAAGCACUUCGCAAGCUUUCGUACUGCGCAGACGAAAGCUCUGGGUUUAACUUUCUGCCUGAAACGAACUCUGAAAUUCGGACGCGUCUCGGCCACUGGCAUAAAGGUUAAAAGUUAAUUAAAUGAUACAUAAUUUUUUUGGAUGAAUCAGACCAAUCGUCUUUCGCUUAUAAUUUCAUUGCUUUUAUUAGAUUACAAUUAAAUAGUAUUACGGGGCUGUGUUUACUUUAAUAUAUUUAUUAUUCACGUUUAAUGGAAUGAAUUGUCCUCGCAGUUACCAUGAACAAAAAGAAAGCGCGACUACUGACUACAAAAAAUUUGAUAAUUUUUAUCGACACUCUUAUUUGGUCAUUUUUCAAAAAUAUUAGUCCUAUUAAUAAUAUUUUACUUCCACCGACUUCUAUCUUGCUACCUAUAUUCGAUUAAUUUCAUUACGUCGGCGAAUAAAACUUUAGAAGGAAAAAUUUUCAGUUAACAGAGACACAAUCAAAUUUAAUUUAAGACCUAGUCAUUUCUCUAGUUUAAUUUUGUACGAUGAGCUUUACAGUCGGUAUAAGAGAUAGGAUAGAUAUAGUAUAUCGAUAAUAAUAAUAUAUGAAUAAAGUAAUAUAUGAAAAUAUAUUAAGAGUGGACUCUAGUCACGGCACCCAUGGACAAGAAUCCGAAAAGUUCAAUCAAAGUGAAUGAUUUGAAAAAUUUUCUUUUAUCAUGCAAACAAUUAUAACAAUAGCAUUGAUAUGCAGCUAAUAUUAAAAUUUCAAUUGAAAAAUUUGGUUUUGUAAUAACUACGUGAAAAAAAAAAUACAAUGAUUCAAAAUCAUAAAACUUUGAUGAACGCAGUAAGGUAUUUGAUCUCAGUCCUCGGGUAAUUAAUCUAGUCUGUAAGAUAAGGAUACUUAAUAGCACGUAAGAAUAGAAAGCGAUAAAUCUAUACAUGGAAAGACAUACCUAUAGAAUAAUUUCAAAAACUCGAGUUUGUGUUCCCAAUGAAUGCUAAAAGUCAAUGCCUACGUCGCGUACACAAUCUCUGGAAAUAUAAUGAUAUUUUGAUAAUAAGAUAAAGGAUCGACAAUACCAAUUUUACAACUUUGCAUAAUACUUAAAUUGUAUAAUUAAAAAAAGAAUGAAUUAAGGUAUCCCACGUACUUUUAAGUCUUAAAUUAAUUUUUUUACCGUGUCAAUAUAUCUAUGUAUUUAUUUUUACGUAUAAUCAGUGCGAGACGAAGCAACGAGACUUUGACGAUAAUAAAUUACAGCCUCGAUACUUUGUCUCUGAUAAGUUUGGUUUAACGAAUAAUCGGUACCGUGUGUAGCGUGUGUGUGUGUGCUUUUUUUUAUUCAUUUUUGUACGUGUGUCGUUUUUGAGCUUGCAUUUAACCACGCGAUCAUAUAUAUUUUUGCUAUACCUAAUUAUACUUUGAAAAAGAAAAAAAAAAAACAAAAAAAACCAAUACCGACAAUUUUCAAUAUAAUAUAUUUGUAUUUAUACUAUAUUAUAGUGAAAUUUUUUUUCACUACCAGUAAGACAAACAUAAGCGAUAUGAGCAAAACACAAAGCCACGCAAUUUAUAAACACAAUUUUACAACGAAAUAUAAUAUUUGAUGAAAAA